rnacentral:rRNA from 1 species
AUGGCUCGUGGCGAUCAUCAAAGUGAUGAUGACGAUUUCAUGGAUCCACCUCAACGUAACCAGGCAACUGGACGGAGAAAAGAGGGCGAUGAGAAGAAGAAACGUAUUUGCAACAGAGCCUCCCAGGAACGUCUGACCGUGUUGAUUGACAAAUUCACUGAUGAUCAAAAGGGAGCUGCUGCUGAGAUGGGUAUGCAGGUUCUGAUGGAUGUCCGGUGUACGAACCUUGUCAACCCGAUAUGCGACUGGCUUGGUGAGAUAUACGAUCCCGCCUCCAGGGAAUUCGUGAUCCCGGGACGGGGAAGACUUCCAUUGAAUGAGGAAUCCGUGUUCUGUACUUUGGGUGUGCCUCGGGGACAUAUCAAAGUCCCGUACGAGGCGAAUCUGAAAAACGUGAAGAGUAUGAACUGGUGUAAGUUUAUUGCCGACUUUCUCCACGAUGCUUUCAAAAACAAGAUGUACCAGAAGGGUUGUCGUCUGCACUUAAUGGCGAGGGCACCAGUGGAGCAUCUAAUUGGGCAGUUUGCAUCCGGAAUGACCGGCCUGCUCGGGAAGUUGGUUGAGGGGUGGACGUCCCUCAGUGCCUCUGACAGCGACGCGGUUGCGAGGCAGUUCACUUCAUUUGUCCCAGAACGUACACAUCAGCCAACCGGUUGCCGUGGCCGGUAUGACUACAACAGCUCCCAAGAGCCCGGUGACACACAGGAUGAUGUGGAUGGAGACGCUGGCCUCAGCAAGGACGACGACGAUGACACCGAUGACGAUGAACACGCUGAAGUUCGCACAUGCGGCAACAAGGGCAAGGAUGCAACAGGUGCCCACCCACCGGAGAAAGUGAAAGAACAUACGGCUGCGAGAGGCGAGGGGGUUUUGCCAUCAAGGAGGGGGAGGGCUCCAGAGGAUGUUGGGCAGGGUUCUGCUGGCAAGACGUCUAGGAUCGAUCCCGUAGCUGCCAGGAAGAGUGAGCCGACCGCUGGUGGACGAGCAGCUACGAAGAAACAGGCGCCAACGCCAACCCGUGUUUCUGCUCGCUUGAACAAAGGUUCCCCCAUUGCCGGUGACAUCCCUUCCACCAGGUCUUCUGCUCGUACGACAACGACCAACACCGGGGAUCCUGUCGUGUUGCUUGACCUGAGGAAGGCAGUCAAGAAGGUGAAGAAGACUACUACGCGCGGGGCCAAGCAUAUCAGUAGAGACCCACUCGAACGCCUGCAUUCAAAGUUGUCAACAGGUGGCAACUCAGAUGUACAUGAGGCGCCAGGCUACAAUACUGCUGCUGCACCGUCAACUGCUCCCACUAACUCUGAUGCAAGUGGCCGACCAUCUCCGCCGGCUGCAGAUGUGCAGGCUAGAACAACAGGCAUCCGUACAUCGGGGAGUGACGAGUCGGUAUUCGCCAGGACAGCUGAAAUAUUGCCAACUCUUUUGGCAAUGAAGGAUGCUGCUGUGAGCCAUGCCACCCCAUCAGCAAGCGUCGAAGUGGAUGCUCCCGAGACCAACCUAGGCAAGGAAGAUUCCCGCUCAUCUGACACUGAUUCCAAGCGCGUGCCUGGUGUCUCACCUGUGUCCAUGACAGAAGCGGCUGAGGCGGCACUUCACAAGGAUAUGCCAUCUGCAGAUGAGAAUCCUGGCACAACAGCUCCAGCUCCUGUCGGUGGAGAUACUGCUAAGGCGACCGUUCUGCGUGCUGGUCUUCCACCUAGGCGUCGUAGCCCCCGCAAGCAAUCAACAGACAUACCCAACGCUCCGGCUGUAGCUAGGAGCAGGAGAGACGAAUCUGGUUAUGUUCCUGCGUCCACACUGUUCCCGCCACCUACAAAAAUCAAUGUGAUGGAGAAACCGCAAGACCGGAGCACAACUGAUGCAGGUGUCAAGCCGGGCACGAGUGACGCAGAGGAACGCCCAGAGCAGACUGCGCCUUCACCCGCAGCGGAAAUCCCCAGCAUAAAUCUGCGCACUUCCAGGCUCCCAGUCAAUGUCGGUGUCCCCUACAGUCCAAACAAGAAGAUUGUCAUGAAAGCUGCGGCUGAGACCACUGACAACACGCCCCGCCCUGCAAAUAAGGCCGAUCAUUUUGUAGCGGCCGAUUCAGAUAUGUUUGUCGAUCUUUCACCCUUGGAUUCUGCCCCAAAAGUCGUUCGUGGUCCGUCCAGUAGGAAUGAGAGGCACCCAAUGGCCUUUACCCCACCGAGCUUCAGCCUCGGCGUCAGUCAAGAUCAACCGGUGGUGCAUGAUCCUAUACCAGUUGCCUUUGCUUUCCCAGGAGGCAUGCCCGCAAUGAUGGCGCAGCCAAUGGUCGAGGGCAGGAAGGCUGUCAAGUUCGCAGAGCCAAUUGUGCAAGCCACCCCUGAGGAGAUUUCACCAUCACUUGAUGAAGUUUACCGCAUGAUCGAGGAGACAUCAUUGCAGACGAGUUCCUCACGAGGGCAAGGGCAAUCAAGUUCCAAUGUGCCUGCAGAUACGGUAUCUGAGGAUACCAUUAGGAGUGUCACCCCUGGUCCUGUGAGGCAGCAGAGGGUAGUUCACCCACCCCCCGCGGAAGACUACGAGCCCGAAUUCAGGGCCACUAAGGAACAGACCCAGCUGUACGAUAUCGUCAAGCAUUUUGGAAAUGCGAGGACCAACAGCAAGCACAUGAAGGAGCUGAAAGCGUAA